UACCUGUACCCCAAAACCACACGGGGUGAGAACUAUAUAAAUAUAGUUCCCAGUGGGUUCGGCCGCCGACUCCGCCGAUCUUCCCACUAGGUCCAAGCUGGCACAGAUAGAUAGAUAGAAAGAUAUAUGGAAAUACUACUACUAUAUCUACUAUGCCAUCAAAUGCAAAGUAUGCAUGGAACAUCAUCUAGCAACAAUCUACUAUCAUGCUAAUAUGCCUCAACAGUGAAAUAAAUACAACAACAACAUAGUUAUGCAAUGCACUAUGUCUAAUCAAGGUAUGAAUGCAAUACUCUUAUGCUAUUCAUGUUAUUACCCAAUCCGCUAGGCUAACUUGCCUAAGAUCUCAAAUCUAGUAGGUGAAGAGCUACCUCACUCUUGUCUCACUCGACUCAUAUCUCAAAGGUCUGACCCAAUCUCGUGAGUCCCAGGCAAAGAGCUACCCCGCCCCUCGCCCGACUCACAUCUCAAGGUCCUAGGCAAAGGCUACCCCGCACUUUGCCCGACUCACAUCUCGACCUACUAGGUACAGGGCUACUCCACUCAAAUCUCAUAGGUGAACAACAACAACAACUAUGGAAGCAAGCUAUCAUGAACAACAAUAAUGAGUAUGACUCAAUAGGUACUCAAAUCUCAUAGGUGAACAACAACAACAACUAUGGAAGCAAGCUAUCAUGAACAACAAUAAUGAGUAUGACUCAAUAGGUACUCAAAUCUCAUAGGUGAAGGAAUAGUAUAUCAUGAAGGCAUGAGCAAUAAGUAAGCUACUAUGAACACUAGUAAGCUACUAUGAACAACAACAACAACUAUGGAAGCAAGCUAUCAUGAACAACAAUAAUGAGUAUGACUCAAUAGGUACUCAAAUCUCAUAGGUGAAGGAAUAGUAUAUCAUGAAGGCAUGAGCAAUAAGUAAGCUACUAUGAACACUAGUAAGCUACUAUGAACAACAACAACAACUAUGGAAGCAAGCUAUCAUGAACAACAAUAAUGAGUAUGACUCAAUAGGUAACCAAAUCUCGUGGUGAACACAAGGUUCACAAGCAAGGCUCACAUAUCAAUCUCCGAGGGAUGCCUAGCUGGUCGAUCCCCGAGUACGCCUGCGGAUAACAAGCGGCUAUCCGAGCAGCAAGCAGGGCUGCCUCUCUAGUGACCAAACUCCGGAGCGCACAACUUGAGGGGAGCGACCCCACCAAGCGCAGACAGGCAAUGUGAGCGUGAUCAUCUCACGAGCAACAGCAACCUACCCUCUAAGGGUAAUCUCAUCAUGGAAUCAAGGUGUUCUUGUACCCAAUCUCAUAGUGUUUCAACUACACUAAGGUUCUCAUGUCAAGGUUAUCAACAAUCAUAUGCCACUCAUCAUAGUUUUCUAAACUAGAUGCCACUCGACAUUUAGACUCAUUUCAACACUAGUUACAUCAUACUAGUUCUUUAGCAACAUAAGCAUUAAUCACCUCACAUAGGGUCUAGGUCUUUAUCAUAAAGUUUUCAUCAUAUAAUCAUCAUGCAUACUAGAUCAUGGAUCAAUCAUCAAGAUGUAUAGCUACUAGCAUGCAAAUAUGAGCAAUGACCACAAUCAUUUAGCAUCUAAAUGCAAUAAAUACAAUAUGCAACUUAAUCGAUUAAUGCACUCAACAAAGUUUAAUCCACAUUAAUCAUGCCCUUAUAGGGUUUCACCACACUAAGUCCCAAUCUCAUGCAUACUAGGUACAAGUAUUAAUCAAGUAACACUACACUCCCACUAGCAUGCCAUGACAUGUAACAAUUGCCAACUAGUACCCUAUAAUGCAAUAUCCCAAUAUGCAACUUGAUCAACGUUAACUAGAGUUUCUAGUACAACAACCAAUCCAUUACUAGUUCAAGUCAUAUGUGUUUUUAGCACAAUAAGUUCAAUGCCACUUGUAAACUAUGUCUUUAAACACAACACUAGGUUCUUCUCUCAUUUAGCAUCAUAGGUUUACCAAUGUCAUCUCAUAAUCCUUAUGUUCAUUACAUCAUAUAUCCAUAUCAUAGUACUAUAUUGAUCAUAAACAUCAUAUAAGGAUUAGGAAUGUAUGUAUUGUCAUCCUAUAAUGCGAGGUAUCGAUAUACAAUAUGCUACAUGUGAAUGGAUAAGCACUAAGACAUAGGAAGAAGCCCGAUUGCUUCGGGAUGGCACUCC
rnacentral:lncRNA from 1 species